UACAAAAAGUUAGUAAGCGGACUAGCCGCGAUAGUGGUUGGAGGUUUGCGAGGUUGACUAAGUGAAAGUCGGGCAAUUACCUUGCUUUCCUCUUGCUAAUAUUGAGCUCGGACAAUGUAUGUACGUAAUAAAAACAAAUUAUAAUAAAUAAAAUUAUUUAAUGAUAUCAUAAAGAAUUUCAUAACCAGUAUGUAAAAUGUGAGUCCUUCCUAUAUCUGGUACUUAAAAUAUUAUACACUCUUUGGUACUGACACCGAGCUACGUUAUUUCUCGAAAAAAUCACAAAUGUGUAAAGUGACGUCAUAACUCAAACGAAGCCGACAAUUUAUCUGAACUGCACUAACAGUGUAAAUUACUUCACAAUGCCAACAUAACAAAUCAACAUUAUACAAUAAAGUUUCGCAUGCAUAGAAUUUCGUUCGGAAAUAACCUAGAAUGCAGAACUUGUAAAAUAACCCAAGACAGUUCUCUGAAUAAAUAACCAAUACGCUGUAAAAACCCGGACAAAAUGCACCACAAUAUGCCAUAAUUUAUGGACAAUAUUAAAUUAAAAUGGACGGUUGACAGAUUUUUCAAGCAGGCGACGCUAGCGGGUGUUCUGUCUACAAAAUUAUACUUUAAAAUCCACCGAAGAUAGCAAGCGGCAACAUACAAAUUUACCUCAUUACCAUAUUUCUUCUCAUUUUGCAAACCCGCUUUUACCAUCUUACUUUUGAGGCGCACCAAAACGUCCAGAGGAUUUCCAUACCUUUUUCUAUAUGAUAAAGUGAUAUGCUCGCCAACGAGCACUGAUCCCAGAUGUUUUAAGCUGCGACGAAAUCCUGGAUCAGGAAGAUCCCGAAGCGAAGACGCUGGGUUAACCGAUGACUAUGUAUGUACUACUUAUCAUAAAGGUGAAGAACAAACAAA